rnacentral:rRNA from 1 species
GUCUACGGCCAUACCAUUGAGAAAGCACCAGUUCUCGUCCGAUCACCGAAGUUAAGC